rnacentral:rRNA from 1 species
CCUACGGGAGGCAGCAGUGAGGAAUAUUGGUCAAUGGACGCAAGUCUGAACCAGCCAUGCCGCGUGCAGGAGGACGGCUCUAUGAAUUGUAAACUGCUUUUGUACGGGGGUAAACGCAGAUACGCGUAUCUGGCUGAAAGUAUCGUACGAAUAAGGAUCGGCUAACUCCGUGCCAGCAGCCGCGGUAAUACGGAGGAUUCAAGCGUUAUCCGGAUUUAUUGGGUUUAAAGGGUGCGUAGGCGGUCGGAUAAGUUAGAGGUGAAAUCCCGGGGCUCAACUUCGGAAUUGCCUAUGAUACUGUUAGGCUAGAGAGUAGUUGCGGUAGGCGGAAUGUAUGGUGUAGCGGUGAAAUGCUUAGAGAUCAUACAGAACACCGAUUGCGAAGGCAGCUUACCGAGCUACCUCUGACGCUGAGGCACGAAAGCGUGGGGAGCAAACAGGAUUAGAUACCCCAGUAGUC